rnacentral:rRNA from 1 species
AACGAACGCUGGCGGCAUGCCUAACACAUGCAAGUCGAACGAGAUCCUUCGGGGUCUAGUGGCGCACGGGUGCGUAACGCGUGGUAAUCUGCCCUUAGGUUCGGAAUAACAGUUAGAAAUGACUGCUAAUACCGGAUGAUGACGUUAAGUCCAAAGAUUUAUCGCCUGAGGAUGAGCCCGCGUAGGAUUAGCUAGUUGGUGUGGUAAAGGCGCACCAAGGCGACGAUCCUUAGCUGGUCUGAGAGGAUGAUCAGCCACACUGGGACUGAGACACGGCCCAGACUCCUACGGGAGGCAGCAGUGGGGAAUAUUGGACAAUGGGCGCAAGCCUGAUCCAGCAAUGCCGCGUGAGUGAUGAAGGCCUUAGGGUUGUAAAGCUCUUUUACCCGAGAUGAUAAUGACAGUAUCGGGAGAAUAAGCCCCGGCUAACUCCGUG